rnacentral:rRNA from 1 species
CAGUCGCGCGGUAAUACGUAGGUGGCAAGCGUUGUCCGGAAUUAUUGGGCGUAAAGGGCUCGCAGGCGGUUUCUUAAGUCUGAUGUGAAAGCCCCCGGCUCAACCGGGGAGGGUCAUUGGAAACUGGGAAACUUGAGUGCAGAAGAGGAGAGUGGAAUUCCACGUGUAGCGGUGAAAUGCGUAGAGAUGUGGAGGAACACCAGUGGCGAAGGCGACUCUCUGGUCUGUAACUGACGCUGAGGAGCGAAAGCGUGGGGAGCGAACAGGAUUAGAUACCCCUGUAGUCCCUGUCUCUUAUACA